rnacentral:rRNA from 1 species
AUGAACGCUGGCGGCGUGCCUAAUACAUGCCAGUCGAGCGCACAGACGAGGAGCUUGCUCCUCUGACGUUAGCGGCGGACGGGUGAGUAACACGUGGAUAACCUACCUAUAAGACUGGGAUAACUUCGGGAAACCGGAGCUAAUACCGGAUAAUAUAUUGAACCGCAUGGUUCAAUAGUGAAAGACGGUUUUGCUGUCACUUAUAGAUGGAUCCGCGCCGCAUUAGCUAGUUGGUAAGGUAACGGCUUACCAAGGCGACGAUGCGUAGCCGACCUGAGAGGGUGAUCGGCCACACUGGAACUGAGACACGGUCCAGACUCCUACGGGAGGCAGCAGUAGGGAAUCUUCCGCAAUGGGCGAAAGCCUGACGGAGCAACGCCGCGUGAGUGAUGAAGGUCUUCGGAUCGUAAAACUCUGUUAUUAGGGAAGAACAAAUGUGUAAGUAACUAUGCACGUCUUGACGGUACCUAAUCAGAAAGCCACGGCUAACUACGUG